GCAAGUCGAGCGAGCAGAUUAUGAAUGAUCCUUCGGGUGAUUGAUUGCUUGGAAAUCGGCGGACGGGUGAGUAACGCGUGGGUAACCUGCCCCAUACACAGGGAUAGCCAUUGGAAACGAUGAUUAAUACCUGAUAACACAUAUUUAACACAUGUUAUUUAUGUCAAAGAUUUAUCGGUAUGGGAUGGACCCGCGGCUGAUUAGCUAGUUGGUAAGGUAACGGCUUACCAAGGCGACGAUCAGUAGCCGACCGGAGAGGGUGAUC
rnacentral:rRNA from 1 species